GGCUGCGAGUGCCGCCCGGCCAGCGCCCCCAGCCUGCACGGAGGGAACAAGGUGCUGGGGGGUGUCUCACCGUCCCCACCGGCCGACGACUCGUACGAAGAUGCCGAACUCAGGAGCGGAUGCUCCGGCGGGGCCGACACCGACAGCAGCCACUACGAGUCGUACGAGGAGGAGGAGGAGGAGGAGGAGGGUGUGACGGACCGUGCCCACUACCUGAGGUGGCC